rnacentral:tRNA from 1 species
AGCUUUUUAGUUUAUGUUAAAAAAUGGGUGCUUGUGGUGCACUUGAAUUUAGGAGCUU